CUCUCAGCCUUCUGCAGGAUUUUCCAGAGAGGAAAAAUGAGAAUUGGGAAGUGGGGAGCCCACGGCCAGCCCCAGAUCUCACCCAGCCGUGGGUCAAGGAGUGAUCAUCGCCGCUUGAGCUGCAAGGAGGGUUUGUGUGGGGGUGACAAAAGGCCACGGCAGGAACACCAACAUCCAACUCAUCGUGCCAGACCUGGAGACAGAAACCUGGAAAAAUUCCAAACACGGAGGACACGAAGCACCAUGGACCAUGGGAAUGCAUUCAUCUCCAGGAAAGCACCCAGGGGAUGAUGGACACCCCUCAAAGCCUGUUUGGAUAAAAGGAAAAAAAGCUUUUCAUCUCAAUGCUGAGCCAGAGAGAACUUGUUGAAGCUGGGUGGCAGUGGGAGGGCAUCAGCACUGGAGCCAAACCUGGAGCAGCUACAACAGCAGCCAGCCAAGUGUGGGUGGGAAGCAUCGCCUCCAGAAAUCAAACCCACUGCUGUCCCCAAAACAGCUUGGAGAUCUAAGGGGAAGGGCGCAAUCGGGAUCCCCCCACUCAGGCUUUUCCCUGGCAUGGUUUUGGGGGAAUAUUGGAGUUAAGGCUCAGACCCACCUCAGCAGGCACAAGCCCACCUCUGUACCUGUGUGGACUGCUCAAACUGUGAUGCUGGAAAAGCCAACAGAGACAAUCUUAACCACGCCAACCUCUUUCCAUGCCCUUGUCCCUUCUCCAGGGGAACAAUCACUGCUGAGGAUCUUUGCCAAAAUUAGUUUCUUUAAGAUCUGAGGGAUCUUUCUGCUGCUGCACCGAGCAGUGGGAGUGAGCCCAUAAAUCCAGUUAGUCACAGUCGCUGGAUUACAUCGGACCUUGUCCUUCUGCCUUUAAUAACACAAUUGUUUGCUGCAUAAGGAGCUUUAUGUAACUGGGAAUCAGGGGUGAUCCGCAGCACUGCCCAGGCUGGAGCUGUCAGCCCUCCCUUCUCUCUGGGCUUGUGUGAACCUCCUGCUGCCAGGCAGUAUCUGAGAAAUAAAUAACCUCCUUGCUGUGGCAGUUAAAGGUCUGACUCCAGCCCACUGCGGUGGUACAAGAUUUCAGUCUGGUAACACAUGGGUCAGGAUCAGAGGUGAUGCAGGGAUGGAGUUACCCCUGGAAGCUGUUUCCCAUCCCUUGAGGACAGCCCUCAGGUGCAAGGGGAGAUAUUUAGGCUCCCCCCUGGUGCCAGGCAGGAGACCAGCAUGCCCCAAAGCCAUCGAGGCUCUUUGGGGACAGCAGUUCCCAGCUCCUUCAUCUACGAAGGGCAAGUACUGGGAGGAAAAGGCACGGGGGCCUGCAGCCUGCACUGCCUGCAGCGCACACAGCAGUCUGGCCCAGCACCAUUAAAUCUCUGUUUUAUUGCAACAGAGCAACCUCUGCACUCCCCCCACGCUCUCUGCAUCCCUUUUCCCUCUCCAUCUUUUUAAGUGACUCUGCCAAACAGUGUCUGCAUAGCUGAGGCCAUGCACUGGUCCUGGCAGAUGGGCAGCGUCGUUAACGUCUCUAGCCGUGAGCGGCAACAUUUUGGGUGAAGAGCUGCUCUUUAAGGAUGAGUUUGGAGAUUUGACAAAGCAGCAUGAGUCUGAAAUUCCUUUACAGUUUCUCAGUGAAGUGGCUGUGUCCCUUUCUCAGGCAGCUGGGAGGUGGCUUCAGGCACCUGCACCACUCCCCUUGCAGGACUGGGUGGGUGGAAAGCUCUGGCAUGAGGGAGACUUUGCAUUUGAGCAUGAGCAGCCCUAAUCCUCACACAGAGUUAAUUUGUUUAUUAUCUUCUGGUUUACCUAUCAAGUGCUGUAAAAUGAAUGUAUGGCCUUGUUGCCAUGCCACCACCCAGCCUAACUCCCAGGGCCAGCAGGUCUGCCCGACAGCAGGGCAGCAUCACUCAUGCAAUUAGGGAAAGGAAGGCAGGUGAAGCUGCCAGAGCAGCUUGCAGGGAAAACUUCAGAAAAACACGGGAAAAACCCUGCUCAGCCUUAUCCAGCUACUGGAGGGACUGCUUUCCCCCCAAACCUGGGUGUCCCCCCAAGCUGCUUCCAUCCAGCACGGCUUCGUGUCCCAAAACCUCACUGGAUUCUCACUGGAUUCACUGGUUUAUCCUGUGGCCAAAACACAAACUCUGAGCUCCCUGGUGAGGGACCUGUGGUGGCACAGAGGAGUACUGGCUGGUCCCCAAAACCUGGCAGGGUGACAGCUGGUGGCUCCAGAGGUGGUCUCUGGUGCCAGCUCCUGACAGUGCAAAACACCCUUGGCAGCAUCAUCACACCCCGAGUGAGACUUGCUGGAUAAAUAAAUAUUCCAGAGAUGCUCCAGGUCAUGUAUUUUUCAUGAGUUUGUUCUGCUAUUGGGAGCCGCACCCUUUAAGAAGAUUGGAUGCAUCUGGAACAGGAGUCAUUUUUAUAGUGAAUAAUUUGUUUGAAAAGCUGACUCUGAAUAUCUUGGUGCACGAAACACAUCUUGGCUCCCUGGAAUGAUUCUGCAGGGACCCACCGAGGGUCAGGUGUGCCCCAUGGCUCUGCCCAAGGAGAGCUGCUCUCUUGGCUGCAAAAAACACCAAUUCCUGAAAGAAAAACACACGGAAGCAGUAGUUCUGUGUAGAUUCCAGGAGUUUUUGGGGAAAGCUAUGGAGCCUUCCCAGCCUGGGGGCUGGCUUGGGUGACUCAGUGCUGCCAGAGCUGGAUCCAUGUGGAUACACAGUGAGAACUUUGGGAUCCUGGUGGAACAGGCAGAACAGUAUUCAUUGUUGUGCUGGGUUUCGACUAUGGAUUUAGAUAUCAAUGGAGUCUGCGCCUCCGAGCAAAGAGUGCUAAUUAGCACCCACAACAGAGAGCCAGCUUUUAAUUAAACACAGCUUAGCAAGGGGGACUUGUGAGAGACACCGAGCCACGUGUGAGAUGACGUGUGCAGGAGGAUUUCAGGGCAGGGCUGAGUCUGGCAGGGCACAAGGCACUGGAUGGGAUCCCCAGGGUGGGACAGGGUGUGGGAUGUGUGGGCUGCACUGCCAGGGUGUUGAAGAUUGCAAUGCAAGAUGUUUUCAAUUCCCAUCUGUAUGGCAGAUUACCUUUUGUCCAGUGGGCAGUUUGCUUUAUCUCUCUCUUUGAGUGACCACAUUCACACCUCCCUUGGGAGGGGACAUUGCUGAUAACAGCUAUUGAAUGUCACUGCAUGGCUGAUAAGAACUAUACCAUCCCAUUGGGAGAUGCUCCGCCCACAGGGAGGAGCCAAGCAUUCCUACCCAGAUAUAAUCCUGAGGUUUUUGAGACACCAGCACGACUUUCUGCACAGGAUUCCCCAGAGGAACAGCAGCUGUCUCUCCUUCCACUGGAUCUUCAGAGGAAGAAUACAUCCUUCUCUACAGGAUCCCCCUUGCUCCAACAGAACCACCCCUGACACUGCAGGAGGGCUGAGCCACAAUUCCAAUGGGACUGCCACCAACACCCUGACCCACAGGGUGUCAGGUUGGGUUCUAACUCUGUCAGUGUUGUUCUAGGCGUUCUGCAUUGUUUAUUUCAUCCUUUUAUUUUUCUUCCCUAUUAAAGAACUGUUAUUUCCUGCUCCCA